CGUCCUUGAAAUACCACCCUUUAAUGGCUGGUGUUCUAACGUAGACCCGUGAUCCGGGUUGCGGACAGUGUCUGGUGGGUAGUUUGACUGGGGCGGUCUCCUCCCAAAGAGUAACGGAGGAGCACGAAGGUUGGCUAAUCCUGGUCGGACAUCAGGAGGUUAGUGCAAUGGCAUAAGCCAGCUUGACUGCGAGCGUGACGGCGCGAGCAGGUGCGAAAGCAGGUCAUAGUGAUCCGGUGGUUCUGAAUGGAAGGGCCAUCGCUCAACGGAUAAAAGGUACUCCGGGGAUAACAGGCUGAUACCGCCCAAGAGUUCAUAUCGACGGCGGUGUUUGGCACCUCGAUGUCGGCUCAUCACAUCCUGGGGCUGAAGUAGGUCCCAAGGGUAUGGCUGUUCGCCAUUUAAAGUGGUACGCGAGCUGGGUUUAGAACGUCGUGAGACAGUUCGGUCCCUAUCUGCCGUGGGCGCUGGAGAAUUGAGGGGGGCUGCUCCUAGUACGAGAGGACCGGAGUGGACGCAUCACUGGUGUUCGGGUUGUCAUGCCAAUGGCACUGCCCGGUAGCUAAAUGCGGAAGAGAUAAGUGCUGAAAGCAUCUAAGCACGAAACUUGCCCC
rnacentral:rRNA from 1 species